rnacentral:rRNA from 1 species
AUUGAACGCUGGCGGCAUGCCUUACACAUGCAAGUCGAACGGUAACAGGUCCUCGGAUGCUGACGAGUGGCGAACGGGUGAGUAAUACAUCGGAACGUGCCUAGUAGUGGGGGAUAACUACUCGAAAGAGUGGCUAAUACCGCAUGAGAUCUACGGAUGAAAGCAGGGGAUCGCAAGACCUUGUGCUACUAGAGCGGCCGAUGGCAGAUUAGGUAGUUGGUGGGAUAAAAGCUUACCAAGCCGACGAUCUGUAGCUGGUCGGAGAGGACGAUCGGCCAACCUGGGACUGAGACACGGCCCAGACUCCUACGGGAGGCAGAAGUGGGGAAUUGUGGACAAUGGGCGCAAGCCUGAUCCAGCAAUGCCGCGUGCAGGAUGAAGGCCUUCGGGUUGUAAACUGCUUGUGUACGGAACGAAAAGCCCUGGGUUAAUACCCUGGGGUCAUGACGGUACCGUAAGAAUAAGCACGGGCUAACUACGUGCCAGCAGCCGCGGUAACAC